UCCUGGCUCAGGAUGAACGCUAGCGGCAGGCUUAACACAUGCAAGUCGAGGGCAGCAUGAGGGUUAGCAAUAACCCUUGAUGGCGACCGGCGCAAGGGUGCGUAACGCGUGAGCAACUUGCCCGUUUCAGGGGGAUAACCGGUGGAAACGCCGACUAAUACCCCAUAGUAUGUUUUUGAGGCAUCUCAGAAACAUUAAAGAAUUUCGGUAACGGAUGGGGAUGCGUGACAUUAGGUAGAUGGCGGGGUAACGGCCCACCAUGCCUACGAUGUCUAGGGGUUCUGAGAGGAAGGUCCCCCACACUGGUACUGAGACACGGACCAGACUCCUACGGGAGGCAGCAGUGAGGAAUAUUGGUCAAUGGUCGAGAGACUGAACCAGCCAAGUCGCGUGAGGGAAGACUGCCCUAUGGGUUGUAAACCUCUUUAGUCGGGGAGCAAAAAAGCGGACGUGUCCGCCAUUGAGCGUACCCGAAGAAUAAGCAUCGGCUAACUCCGUG
rnacentral:rRNA from 1 species